GUAGAGAUCUGGAGGAAUACCGAUGGCGAAGGCAGCCAUCUGGCCUAAUACUGACGCUGAGGUACGAAAGCAUGGGGAGCAAACAGGAUUAGCUACCCUGGUAGUCCAUGCCGUAAACGAUGUCUACUAGCCGUUGGGGCCUUUGAGGCUUUAGUGGCGCAGCUAACGCGAUAAGUAGACCGCCUGGGGAGUACGGUCGCAAGACUAAAACUCAAAUGAAUUGACG
rnacentral:rRNA from 1 species